rnacentral:rRNA from 1 species
GAUGAACGCUGGCGGCGUGCUUAACACAUGCAAGUCGAACGGAAAGGCCUUUAUUGUGGCGUGGGCAGGUGUGGCUAAUGUGUAGGGAAGGAGGGAGGAAUCUGGCCUGGGUAAUCGGAUUAAUUCAGGGAAAUAGGGCUAAGAACGGAUUGGUACUCCUGCUUCAUGGUGGAGGUUGGAAAGGUUCGGUGUUUAGGGAUGGAGUCGUGGCUGAUCAGCUUGUGGGGGGGGUAGUGGUUUACCAAGGCUUUGACGGGUAGCCGGCCUGAGAGGGUGACCGGCAACAUUGGGACUGAGAUACGGCCCAGACUCCUACGGGAGGCAGCAGUGGGGAAUAUUGCACAAUGGGCGGAAGCCUGAUGCAGCAACGCCGCGUGCGGGAUGACGGCCUUCGGGUUGUAAACCGCUUUCGCCUGUGACGAAGCGUGAGUGACGGUAAUGGGUAAAGAAGCACCGGCUAACUACGUG